CACUAUGAAGCGCCCCGGCUGGGAAGGGCCACCCCAGCAGUGUGCACGGUCCGUGCUCCGCACGCCCCCCACGGUUAGCAGUAUGGUGGGAACACUGUGCGAUCUUCAGGGCGAGAUCCGAGGCCAGAAUGUCGAAUUCAAGGGAUAGAUAGGAAAACUGGGAUAGUUUACUGCUAUCAGAAGAAAGCCACAAAAAAUAGAAAAAGAAGUUCUUUAGGCUGGAAAGAAAUUAUCCCAGAUGGAAGCAGAGCAUUGGAAGAUACCGUAGCCUCUUGUGCUUUGGAACAUUUGACAGCAUUUCAUCAUUAUGGAUGAGG